AUUAAAAUAGCAUAAUUAGUGUAAUAAGUUUAGACCUUAUAGGUGGGAAUCCUUUUAAUA
rnacentral:tRNA from 1 species